rnacentral:rRNA from 1 species
UUGGGACUGAGACACGGCCCAGACUCCUACGGGAGGCAGCAGUGGGGGAUAUUGCACAAUGGGGGAAACCCUGAUGCAGCGACGCCGCGUGGAGGAAGAAGGUUUUCGGAUUGUAAACUCCUGUCGUUAGGGACGAUAAUGACGGUACCUAACAAGAAAGCACCGGCUAACUACGUGCCAGCAGCCGCGGUAAAACGUAGGGUGCAAGCGUUGUCCGGAAUUACUGGGUGUAAAGGGAGCGCAGGCGGACCGGCAAGUUGGAAGUGAAAACUAUGGGCUCAACCCAUAAAUUGCUUUCAAAACUGCUGGCCUUGAGUAGUGCAGAGGUAGGUGGAAUUCCCGGUGUAGCGGUGGAAUGCGUAGAUAUCGGGAGGAACACCAGUGGCGAAGGCGACCUACUGGGCACCAACUGACGCUGAGGCUCGAAAGCAUGGGUAGCAAACAGGAUUAGAUACCCUGGUAGUCCAUGCCGUAAACGAUGAUUACUAGGUGUUGGAGGAUUGACCCCUUCAGUGCCGCAGUUAACACAAUAAGUAAUCCACCUGGGGAGUACGACCGCAAGGUUGAAACUCAAAGGAAUUGACGGGGGCCCGCACAAGCAGUGGAGUAUGUGGUUUAAUUCGAAGCAACGCGAAGAACCUUACCAGGUCUUGACAUCCGAUGCAUAGUGCAGAGAUGCAUGAAGUCCUUCGGGACAUCGAGACAGGUGGUGCAUGGUUGUCGUCAGCUCGUGUCGUGAGAUGUUGGGUUAAGUCCCGCAACGAGCGCAACCCUUAUUGCCAGUUACUACGUUAAGAGGACUCUGGCGAGACUGCCGUUGACAAAACGGAGGAAGGUGGGGAUGACGUCAAAUCAUCAUGCCCUUUAUGACCUGGGCUACACACGUACUACAAUGGCGUUUAACAAAGAGAAGCAAGACCGCGAGGUGGAGCAAAACUCAAAAACAACGUCUCAGUUCAGAUUGCAGGCUGCAACUCGCCUGCAUGAAGUCGGAAUUGCUAGUAAUCGCGGAUCAGCAUGCCGCGGUGAAUACGUUCCCGGGCCUUGUACACACCGCCCGUCACACCAUGAGAGCCGGGGGGACCCGAAGUCGGUAGUCUAACCGUAAGGAGGACGCCGCCGAAGGUAAAACUGGUGAUUGGGGUGAAGUCGUAACAAGGUAGCCGUA